rnacentral:lncRNA from 1 species
UUUUUUUUAGCAGGAUCAACCUCGAUUCCUCUUUUCCACCCACAAUAAGCCCCAGCAAUUUAUCGGACCGCACUCUGAUAGUGCACUUAUUCGGAUUCAACCUCAGUCUGAAUUAUCUCAACUGGUCCACUCAGCUUGGCCAGAUCUACCAGAUGCCCCUCUUUUGUUUGGGACUUUGCUAUCAUGUCAUCAACAUAGCAUUCAAUUUCAUGAUGAAUCAUAUCAUGAAACAAAGUCACCAUGGCUCUCUGAUAAGUAGCAUCGGCGUUCUGCUUCACUAGAG